GUACUGCUGAAGAGUCCAAAACUAGGACGAAACAGCUGUCCAGCAC
rnacentral:hammerhead_ribozyme from 1 species